rnacentral:rRNA from 1 species
AACGAACGCUGGCGGCGUGCCUAACACAUGCAAGUCGUGCGAGAACGGGGGGGCAACCCCCUUAGUAAAGCGGCGCACGGGUGAGUAACACGUAGGUAACCUACCCCCGAGCUCGGGAUAACCUACCGAAAGGUGGGCUAAUACUGGAUAUGACCACGGGAAUUUCGGUUCUUGUGGUGAAAGGUGGCCUCUGCUUGCAAGCUACUACUCGAGGAUGGGCCUGCGCGCCAUUAGCUAGUUGGUGAGGAACGGCUCACCAAGGCAAUGAUGGCUAGCUGGUCUGAGAGGAUGGCCAGCCACACUGGGACUGAAACACGGCCCAGACUCCUACGGGAGGCAGCAGUGGGGGAUCUUGCGCAAUGGGCGAAAGCCUGACGCAGCGACGCCGCGUGGGUGAUGAAGGCC